GCUCAGCGUUGGAAUGUAGUCCAUCAAUAUCAGAUGUCACGAUUCCUCAAAUCCCCAAGCAUCGGACUCCUUCCGGCAGUUCCGACCUUUGGCCCCUCUGAGUUGUUGGGAUCACCAAGUAACUAGGAUUCGGUCGCAAGUCUGCAUCCCAACUCGAAAUUAGUAUCAAGUUCCUGCACUUGCAGACAUCCUAUCUGUCAACAAACUCAUGCUGAUUGUUUGCGCUUCUGAUGUAUAUCCAACUCUGCAGAACGUCAACGUCAAGUACAUCUGUUUGAAGUUCAUGGUACUGAACUUUACUGUAAGUAAUCUUUAAUAUGAAAGAUGAUGUAUAAUUCCCUUGACAGUUGCCUCUAUUAGAUCUGCUGAUUGCUUCUUUCGACUUACACACAAGUCAAACCCUUACUUUUACAACACUGAUUGAUUCUUACUUAUACAAACCAGAAGCUUAUCAUGAUAGCUAUCUAUUAAGUUGUAGCAUGCAAUAAGAUUUAAGUUCUGCCCUUCUGAUAUCUGAGUUCUUUUGUUGUGAUUGAGUCUGUUUUCUAAUAUUUGACGUAUCACAUUGUGAAAUUGA